GGACAAUAUCCUCACAUCAAGCUUUCCAAAACAGUCAGAUGCAACUGGAGCAAGUGAAAUGAUUAAUCUGCAUGGAGUGUGGAGGGGGAGCAGAAGUGAAGCCAAAGGAAUGAACAAGUUAAUUUCACAAGACUAAGCUGUGUGAAGAUGCAGAAAUCAUCAAGACAGGGCAGCAGAGGGCCAGGUCAUGUGGCCGAGGACACCAGCUGGUCAGCAGAACAGUGAG